GAGAUUUGAGGAUGGGGGUGAUGUGGUCGUGUUUGCGCACCCUCAACAGGAUCCUAGCAGCGCUGUUCUGGAUGUACUGUAGCUUUUGAAGGCUUUUCUCAGGGAUCCCCGUGAGGAGCGCAUUGCAGUAGUCAGCCUGGAGGAGACAAAGCCAUGUACAGAGGAUGUUGUGGUCCACAGUGUCGAAUGCUGCAGUCAGGUCCAGGAGAAUGAGAAGAGAUGGGGAGCCAGCGUCUG